rnacentral:snoRNA from 1 species
GUAUGGCUGAAUACUGUGUUCUUUUAAUCAGUAUUUUACACAUCUGGACACCAUGCAAAGUAAUGUUCCCUUGAAAU